rnacentral:rRNA from 21 species
UAGUACGAGAGGACCGGGUUGGACGAACCUCUAGUGUAUCUGUUGUCGCGCCAGCGGCACUGCAGAGUAGCUACGUUCGGAAGGGAUAAGCGCUGAAAGCAUCUAAGCGCGAAGCCUACCUCAAGAUGAAAUUUCCUUUAAGGGUCGUUAUAGACGAUGACGUUGAUAGGCUGUAGGUGUAAAGGCAGUAAUGUCAAAGCCGAGCAGUACUAAUUACC